rnacentral:rRNA from 1 species
UACGAAGGGGGCUAGCGUUGCUCGGAAUCACUGGGCGUAAAGCGCACGUAGGCGGAUCUUUAAGUCGGGGGUGAAAUCCUGGAGCUCAACUCCAGAACUGCCUUUGAUACUGGCGAUCUUGAGUCCGGGAGAGGUGAGUGGAACUCCGAGUGUAGAGGUGAAAUUCGUAGAUAUUCGCAAGAACACCAGUGGCGAAGGCGGCUCACUGGCCCGAUACUGACGCUGAGGUGCGAAAGCGUGGGGAGCAAACAGG